AGUGAACGCUGGCGGUAGGCCUAACACAUGCAAGUCGAACGGCAGCACAGUAAGAGCUUGCUCUUACGGGUGGCGAGUGGCGGACGGGUGAGGAAUACAUCGGAAUCUACUUUUUCGUGGGGGAUAACGUAGGGAAACUUACGCUAAUACCGCAUACGACCUACGGGUGAAAGCAGGGGAUCUUCGGACCUUGCGCGAUUGAAUGAGCCGAUGUCGGAUUAGCUAGUUGGCGGGGUAAAGGCCCACCAAGGCGACGAUCCGUAGCUGGUCUGAGAGGAUGAUCAGCCACACUGGAACUGAGACACGGUCCAGACUCCUACGGGGGGCAGCAGUGGGGAAUAUUGGACAAUGGGCGCAAGCCUGAUCCAGCCAUACCGCGUGGGUGAAGAAGGCCUUCGGGUUGUAAAGCCCUUUUGUUGGGAAAGAAAAGCAGCAGGUUAAGACCCCGCUGUUCUGACGGUACCCAAAGAAUAAGCACCGGCUAACUUCGU
rnacentral:rRNA from 1 species